rnacentral:rRNA from 1 species
UACGUAGGGUGCAAGCGUUGUCCGGACUUAUUGGGCGUAAAGAGCUCGUAGGCGGUUUGUCGCGUCUGCUGUGAAAUCCCGAGGCUCAACCUCGGGUCUGCAGUGGGUACGGGCAGACUAGAGUGCGGUAGGGGAGAUUGGAACUCCUGGUGUAGCGGUGGAAUGCGCAGAUAUCAGGAAGAACACCGAUGGCGAAGGCAGAUCUCUGGGCCGUAACUGACGCUGAGGAGCGAAAGCAUGGGGAGCGAACAGG